rnacentral:tRNA from 1 species
CAUCAGAUGACUGAAAGCAAGUAGUGGUCUCUUAAACCAUUUGAUAGUAACCCGCGAUUACUUCUGAUGA